ACGCUCGACACCUACGGUAGGCAGCAGUCGGGAAUAUUGCGCAAUGGAGGGAACUCUGACGCAGUGACGCCGCGUAUAGGAAGAAGGUUUUCGGAUUGUAAACUAUUGUCGUUAGGGAAGAGAAAGGACAGUACCUAAGGAGGAAGCUCCGGCUAACUACGUGCCAGCAGCCGCGGUAAUCUGAGCGGGCUGGCAAGGC
rnacentral:rRNA from 1 species